CCCAUAAAACCGAUCGUAGUCCGGAUCGCAGUCUGCAACUCGACUGCGUGAAGUCGGAAUCGCUAGUAAUCGUGAAUCAGAAUGUCACGGUGAAUACGUUCCCGGGCCUUGUACACACCGCCCGUCACACCAUGGGAGUGGGUUGCUCCAGAAGUAGCUAGUCUAACCGCAAGGGGGACGGUUACCACGGAGUGAUUCAUGACUGGGGUGAAGUCGUAACAAGGUAGCCGUAGGGGAACCUGCGGCUGGAUCACCUCCUUAA
rnacentral:rRNA from 1 species